rnacentral:rRNA from 1 species
UUGCUGGGGGGAUUAGUGGCGAACGGGUGAGUAACACGUGAGUAACCUGCCCUUGACUCUGGGAUAAGCCUGGGAAACUGGGUCUAAUACCGGAUAUGACCAUUCCACGCAUGUGGUGGUGGUGGAAAGCUUUUGCGGUUUUGGAUGGACUCGCGGCCUAUCAGCUUGUUGGUGGGGUAAUGGCCUACCAAGGCGACGACGGGUAGCCGGCCUGAGAGGGUGACCGGCCACACUGGGACUGAGACACGGCCCAGACUCCUACGGGAGGCAGCAGUGGGGAAUAUUGCACAAUGGGCGGAAGCCUGAUGCAGCGACGCCGCGUGAGGGAUGACGGCCUUCGGGUUGUAAACCUCUUUCAGUAGGGAAGAAGCGUAAGUGACGGUACCUGCAGAAGAAGCGCCGGCUAACUACGUGCCAGCAGCCGCGGUAAUACGUAGGGCGCAAGCGUUAUCCGGAAUUAUUGGGCGUAAAGAGCUCGUAGGCGGUUUGUCGCGUCUGCUGUGAAAGACCGGGGCUCAACUCCGGUUCUGCAGUGGGUACGGGCAGACUAGAGUGCAGUAGGGGAGACUGGAAUUCCUGGUGUAGCGGUGAAAUGCGCAGAUAUCAGGAGGAACACCGAUGGCGAAGGCAGGUCUCUGGGCUGUAACUGACGCUGAGGAGCGAAAGCAUGGGGAGCGAACAGGAUUAGAUACCCUGGUAGUCCAUGCCGUAAACGUUGGGCACUAGGUGUGGGGGACAUUCCACGUUUUCCGCGCCGUAGCUAACGCAUUAAGUGCCCCGCCUGGGGAGUACGGCCGCAAGGCUAAAACUCAAAGGAAUUGACGGGGGCCCGCACAAGCGGCGGAGCAUGCGGAUUAAUUCGAUGCAACGCGAAGAACCUUACCAAGGCUUGACAUGGACUGGAAAGAUCUGGAGACAGGUCCCCCGCUUGCGGUCGGUUCACAGGUGGGUGCAUGGGUUGUCGUCAGCUCGUGGCCUGGAGAUGUUGGGGUUAAGUCCCCGCAACCGAGC